AUAAUAAAACCAUGGUUAAGAGAAAACAUGGUUAUUUUUAUGGGAUGUCACCUGACUUGUUUAACUGAUCUUUAAAAAUCGCACAGACUUAUAUUGUGACGUUGUUGAUUCCAAGUUAACAUUAUCAAACUCUGCAAGCCACUUCAAACUAUUUGAGCCCAUACUCAUAUUCUGUCUCAAAUGUUCCAUAUAUUUUAAUCUUUUAAUGUGUAGUUUGCCUCUUCUUUAAGAAAAAACACUCUGUAAGUAUGAACCAGUAUUUCUAGUAGGCUACAUUUUCAUAUUUUUGUUGUUAUUGACUUACAUUGAAAUAUUCCAUGCAUGCUUUACAAUAAUGCUUCAGCUAUAUAAAAUAUAACAUUAGGGUAACGCAAGUUUUCUUUUAAAUGAUGUUCUGUUUUUCCACUUCCAUCUCUUUUUUUAAUUUCUCUGAAGGUUGUGCGGCACUUCAACCCUAUAAACUACAGUGAAUAAAGUAAGACACAUUGAAUAAGAGCCCAUUACAAGCGGUAAAUUUUAUUAUGGGAUAACAGCACAUAAAGCACAUCUAAAAUCGAUGUGUCCAAUGCACUUUUAAUAAACGUAAUAUUAAAGGUACAGUUUUCUAAGUACAAUAUAACAACAUUCAUAUUAGAAUGAAAAGUAUUUAAAAGACAACAUUAAAUUUCUUAUUUUUCUUUACAGCGGUAUUUACAAAAUGAAUCAAAAUACUUAUUUUCAUAUUUAAGAAUCAGACAAACAGAAGGAGCAAAACCACUAUUGAGAAGAGACUAUCUCCUAAAGAGAGUUCCAAAGAGCUGAAUAAAAAGGAAAGCAGGAGCAAAAUCCAACCCGUCUUGCCCCAGCCCUUGUGCCCUCCCCUUCAGCUCAACAAGAAAUAGAAGUGUAGAAACAACAGGGAGAACACGGAGUGGAUUGUCUAUUGUCCGCCAGUUUGUCUCUGCAAAUAUCCAAACGGGGGUUCGCGUUUAACAUCCAACCAGGGUGCAACUGACUGGAUGCAAUGUCCCAUAACCAAGUUGUUCAGAGGAAAAGAAAAAGUAACAUCUGAGAAUCUCUGAAAAUACAGGACAUCACAGAGACAAGAAAAUGCUGUUUCCAUGGCUAUAAACAAACAUGAAAUGCCUCAUUUACAUACAAAAAGACGGCCGAUGAAAAGUCGGUAACACAGACAGAAUUCACCUACGUGUGCAAACACAGUCAGUUGAGUAUGUGAAAAAAAAUGGACGAAUAGUUUCUGCAUCCUGUACCACUGAGAGGCACUCAGUGUAGUUUGCUCUGUAUUAUUGCAAGUAGAUUCUGCCUUGCUACGAAGAUAAAAACAGGAAGUUUCGCACAAAACUUCGUACAACCGCCUUUGUCCUGUACAAUUUAUAACACUUAACCAUCGUGUGUGUAUGUAAGUGUA
ensembl:lncRNA